AUACUUACCUGGAUGGGGUCAAUGGGUGAUCAAAAAGGCUCAUGGCCUAGGAUAGUGAUCUCCAUUGCACAUAAAGGAGGGGUGCUAGCCUAAGGUCCACCCAAGCGGUGGAUCCUACAUCAUAAUUUGUAGCAGUGGGGUCAGUGUUCGCGCGGCCCUUU